rnacentral:other from 1 species
AUAGGACGCUCUAAUGCGGACAUGGUGCGAAGAGUCUAUUGAGCUAGUUAGUGGUCCUCCGGCCCCUGAAUGCGGCUAAUCCUAACUGCGGAGCACAUGCCUUCAAUCCAGAGGGUAGUGUGUCGUAAUGGGCAACUCUGCAGCGGAACCGACUACUUUGGGUGUCCGUGUUUCCUUUUAUUCUUAUAUUGGCUGCUUAUGGUGACAAUCAAAGAGUUGUUACCAUAUAGCUAUUGGAUUGGCCAUCCGGUG